GACGAACGCUGGCGGCGUGCUUAACACAUGCAAGUCGAACGGAAAGGCCCUGCUUUUGUGGGGUGCUCGAGUGGCGAACGGGUGAGUAACACGUGAGUAACCUGCCCUUGACUUUGGGAUAACUUCAGGAAACUGGGGCUAAUACCGGAUAGGAGCUCCUGCUGCAUGGAGGGGGGUGGAAAGUUUCGGCGGUUGGGGAUGGACUCGCGGCUGAUCAGCUUGUUGGUGGGGUAGUGGCUUACCAAGGCAUUGACGGGUAGCCGGCCUGAGAGGGUGACCGGCCACAAUGGGACUGCGGUACGGACCAGACUCCUACGGGAGGCAGCAGUGGCGAGUAUUGCCCAAUGGGAGGAAGCCUGAUGCAGCAACGCCGCGGGCGGGAUGCCGGCUUUCGGGUUGUAAACCGCUUUCGCCUGUGACGAAGCGUGAGUGACGGUAAUGGGUAAAGAAGCACCGGCUAACUACGUG
rnacentral:rRNA from 1 species